GCCAUUUUAGCACAGCGGAUAGUGCAUCGCUUUUGUAAAGCGGAGGUCAUCGGUUCAAAUCCGAUAAAUGGCUC
rnacentral:tRNA from 1 species